UACGGGGGGGGCAAGCGUUGUUCGGAAUUACUGGGCGUAAAGGGCGCGUAGGCGGCCUUCUAAGUCGGACGUGAAAUCCCUCGGCUCAACCGAGGAACUGCGUCUGAUACUGGAAGGCUUGAAUCCGGGAGAGGGAUGUGGAAUUCCAGGUGUAGCGGUGAAAUGCGCAGAUAUCGGGAGGAACACCGGUGGCGAAGGCGGCGUUCUGGACUGCAACUGACACUGAAAAACGAAAGCCAGGGGAGCAAACGGG
rnacentral:rRNA from 1 species